AAAUUGAAGAGUUUGAUCAUGGCUCAGAUUGAACGCUGGCGGCAGGCCUAACACAUGCAAGUCGAGCGGAAA
rnacentral:rRNA from 4 species